rnacentral:rRNA from 1 species
GACAAACGCUGGCGGCGUGCCUAACACAUGCAAGUCGAACGAAGCACUGGAGAAAGAGACUUCGGUCAAUGACUCCUUUGACUUAGUGGCGGACGGGUGAGUAAUGCGUGAGCAACCUGCCUUGGAGAGGGGGACAACAGCUGGAAACGGCUGCUAAUACCGCAUGAUGUUACCGGGGGGCAUCUUCUGGUAACCAAAGAUUUAUCGCUCUGAGAUGGGCUCACGUCUGAUUAGUUAGUUGGCGGGGUAACGGCCCACCAAGACCGCGAUCAGUAGCCGGACUGAGAGGUUGAACGGCCACAUUGGGACUGAGAUACGGCCCAGACUCCUACGGGAGGCAGCAGUGGGGAAUAUUGGGCAAUGGGCGCAAGCCUGACCCAGCAACGCCGCGUGAAGGAAGAAGGCUUUCGGGUUGUAAACUUCUUUUACCAGGGACGAAGAAAGUGACGGUACCUGGAGAAUAAGCCACGGCUAACUACGUGCCAGCAGCCGCGGUAAUACGUAGGUGGCAAGCGUUGUC